CCUACGGGUGGCAGCAGUGAGGAAUAUUGGUCAAUGGGCGCGAGCCUGAACCAGCCAAGUAGCGUGAAGGAUGACUGCUCUCCGGGUUGUAAACUUCUUUUAUAAAGGAAUAAAGUGAGGCACGUGUGCCUUUUUGUAUGUACCUUAUGAAUAAGGACAGGCUAACUCCGUGCCAGCAGCCGCGGUAAUACGGAGGAUCCGAGCGUUAUCCGGAUUUAUUGGGUUUAAAGGGAGCGUAGAUGGGUUGUUAAGUCAGUUGUGAAAGUUUGCGGCUAAACCGUAAAAUUGCAAUUGAUACUGGCAGCCUUGAGUACAGUUGAGGUAAGCGGAAUUCGUGGUGUAGCGGUGAAAUGCUUAGAUAUCACGAAGAACUCCGAUGGCGAAGGCAGCCUACUAGACUGCCACUGACAUUGAUGCUCGAAAGUGUGGGUAGCAAACAGGAUUAGAUACCCGGGUAGUC
rnacentral:rRNA from 1 species